ensembl:lncRNA
GUUGUUUUGCCUCUGCCCUAAUUUCUGCAGAGAAGGGGAGCUCACCACCUCCAGCCAGGAGCAGCAAUCUUUCCAUUGUACACAGACCCACAUUACAAGCCCUGUGACAUUACCUCCUUAUCCUGGGUGUAACUCCUAGCAGGACCUAGCACACAAAAGAGCAGACUUGCAGUCCCAGACAGCUCAAUGAUGUUGGCGCUUCUAGUAUCUACAUCAUUUCAUGUGGGGAAGGCUCAUGAUGAAGCAGAACCAUGCUUUUGUUUUGGAAGUAGACAUGAGACUGAAGCCACGUGCCGUCCUGGGCAGCUGUCUUCACGAGGUGGUGUGGAGCUCCCGGGUACUUCCAUCUUAGAGCAUUUCCAUCACGCACAUGUUUCCAUGACCGCCAAAGCAAGGAAGAAAAAUUGGAAGAUUUCACACUGGCAAUUAAAUGCUUUGAUCCAGAAGAUAUAUGCAUCCAUUCUGCUUACAACCAAUUGGCCAGAACUAAUUGCAUGACCCCACCUUGCAGCAGGAGGUGUGUGUGAAGAAAUGUG